rnacentral:rRNA from 1 species
AGUGAACGCUGGCGGUAGGCCUAACACAUGCAAGUCGAACGGCAGCACAGUAAGAGCUUGCUCUUACGGGUGGCGAGUGGCGGACGGGUGAGGAAUACAUCGGAAUCUACUUUUUCGUGGGGGAUAACGUAGGGAAACUUACUCUAAUACCGCAUACGACCUACGUGUGAAAGCAGGGGAUCUUCGGACCUUGCGCGAUUGAAUGAGCCGAUGUCGGAUUAGCUAGUUGGCGGGGUAAAGGCCCACCAAGGCGACGAUCCGUAGCUGGUCUGAGAGGAUGAUCAGCCACACUGGAACUGAGACACGGUCCAGACUCCUACGGGAGGCAGCAGUGGGGAAUAUUGGACAAUGGGCGCAAGCCUGAUCCAGCCAUACCGCGUGGGUGAAGAAGGCCUUCGGGUUGUAAAGCCCUUUUGUUGGGAAAGAAAAGCAGCAGGUUAAUACCCCGCUGUUCUGACGGUACCCAAAGAAUAAGCACCGGCUAACUUCGUG